CUUCUAUGAAGAUACCUUUGUCCAGUUCUGCUACUGAGUGAAUGAUUGAUAUCUGUGACUCCUGAGAAUG
rnacentral:snoRNA from 1 species